UUGUUCAGUGGAUUCAUGAUGACUUCAUCUUCUUCUUCGUCAUCUUCCUCAUCUUACUUAGUUUCAUCAUCUUCCGCUGACGAACUCACACGUAAACCAACUCCGGUAGUAGGGCCAGUAAUAAGCGGUGGCCGUAGCAGGACAUGGACGUGGGCAUUUGCAAGUCCGAUGAGAGCUUUUAAACCGUCAAAUUCGAAGGAUCGGAAACGCUCCAUAAUCAGACAAGCUACAGAAAGCAACCCAUCACCGGAUUUGAACUCUAUUCCUUCAUUGUUAACCGUCAGAAGCUGAAAAAACAACUAAAACACUCUGUUUCCGUUGGAUGAAGAUCAAAAAAGGGGGAAUCAUGAAGAAGCAAUUCAACAAACAACAAGGUGCGUUUAAAGCACAGUGGAUUUCUUCACUUCUCACAGUACAAAUCAAAAACAUAAAAAGAGAAAGAAUGAAAAAAAGAAAAAGAAUAUAAUGAAUGAAUCUUUUUGAGAAGAUGGAAAUUUGCCUUUUGUGGUUUAUGUAAUAUCAAAUUUGUAAUUUGUCAAUGUUGAAUGUAAUGUUUUAUGUUUUAUGUUCUUUUGAAGAAUAAGAAAUGGUUGAAUUUUCACUAAUAAUCA